rnacentral:rRNA from 1 species
AUUGAACGCUGGCGGCAGGCCUAACACAUGCAAGUCGAGCGGAUGAAGGGAGCUUUCUCCUGUAUUCAGCGGCGGACGGGUGAGUAAUGCCUAGGAAUCUGCCUGGUAUUUGGGGAUAACGUCCGGAAACGGGCGCUAAUACCGCAUACGUCCUGAUGGAGAAAGUGGGGGAUCUUCGGACCUCACGCUAUCUGAUGAGCCUAGGUCGGAUUAGCUAGUUGGUUGGGUAAAGGCCUACCAAGGCGACGAUCCGUAACUGGUCUGAGAGGAUGAUCAGUCACACUGGAACUGAGACACGGUCCAGACUCCUACGGGAGGCAGCAGUGGGGAAUAUUGGACAAUGGGCGAAAGCCUGAUCCAGCCAUGCCGCGUGUGUGAAGAAGGUCUUCGGAUUGUAAAGCACUUUAAGUUGGGAGGAAGGGCAGUAAGUUAAUACCUUGCUGUUUUGACGUUACCAACAGAAUAAGCACCGGCUAACUUCGUG